AACCACAAUAACCCAAACAAUCAAAACACCAAAAACUAGAAUCCCAAAAAAUACGAAUCAUUAAUGAUCACCUCUCUUUUUGUCUAAUCUUACAAAUAAACUUCAAAAAAAUAUACCAAACCAAUCAACUCAACUAAAACUCAACGACACAUACAUUGAGCCAGCUAAAGAAAUACAAGAAACAAUCCCAACAGACACAAAGGCGGGACCAACAUCUCCACCUACUCACUCCUCUUGUCUUAUGAAAAUAGCUUACAUGCUCAAUGUCAAAAGGCCAAUGCUAUUGUGUUCUUAUGAGAUAUACAUAUAUUUGUUUAACGUCCAAAUACUAAUUGUCACUCAUUUUAUAGUUAUUUUUACAAGUCUUCAUGUAUUUGUUUUAAAGGUCCGGUAAAAGCAACAAGUUUAAAAUUAAAAAAAAAACAUAUAACCAACAUAAUAGGAAUAAAAACAAUUAUUAUUUAAUACACACAAUUACACAACUAAACUGGAGAAAAAAUAUCGAAAAACAAAAGGUACUCUCAACAACCUUAAUAUAAUUUAUGUAAUCUCAACUGUACACACUACAAAGAAAGUCUACAUUGAUAGCAUAUUGUUAUAGUACGUUUUACUGAACUGUUAUCGUAGAUGAUUUAAAAAUUUAUGUAUUAUAUGAUAGCGUUAGAUAAACACUACGAUAGAGAGAAACCUAAAAUAGCACUUAAUUAAUGCUAUUCUGAAAAUGAAGUGAGCGGGAAGAUAAAAUCCCUACACCCCAAACAUGGUUUUCAACCCUAAACUUUAUAAUGCUAAGAAAAGCUAUUAAUGAUAGCGUUUUAUAAUGCUAAGAAAAGCUAUUAAUGCUAAGAAAAGCUAGUCGAACCCCUACACCCCAAACAUGGUUUUCAACCCUAAACUUUAAAUACAACCCUUAAAACUCUAAUUUUUCAUAUUUUUACUUCAAAUCUUAAAAUUAAACUCAAAAUUUCAUCUUCUUAAUCUUAAACUAUCAUUUACUAAACACAUAUCUCUUUAUCUUCAAUGAAACUCUAUAUCCUAAAUCAUAACUUCAAACAUAAACUAUACAUUCAAUACUCUAAGUAUAAACUUCAGAUCUAAAUUAUUAAAAAUUUAAUUACAAAUCUUAUAUCUAGCCUUCAAAUCUAUUAUUUCCAAUUUUAAUCCAAAAUACUAAACUUUAAUCCUAAACCUCAUAUUCCAACAUCCAAACCUUAAAACACAAAACCAAACUUUACUCUUAAUCAUAAUUUCUUUGAAACGAUAAAAUCUAAAUUUUAAACUUUUCGACUCUAGUAUCAAACAUACAAAUUUAUAAACGGAUUACAAAUCAGAUUGAAUAAUAAAAAUCAGAUUUCAGUUUAAACAUACAAAUUUUUAAAAUGAUGACCAAAAUCAUAAUCUUGAUAUCAAUCUAAUAUUUUCAAAUUUAAACAUCAAUUCUUUGUUCAAAAAAAAACAUCAAUUCUUAAAAUAAAUAUUAAUUUAUUAUGUUAAAAAAAUAAACUUUAAGUUAAAAUUAUAAACUACAAAAUAUAAAAUUUUAUAUACGAUAUAACUAAGAAAAAUUACUUACAAAACAAAUUAUCAAAUACUGAAGAACAAAACAAAAAGAAAAAUAGAAAAAGAAACAUAAAAUUUUCUGACCAAUAAGAUUCAGAUACAUGUAUCACACUUCUUAGCCAUUGGAUUAAUUUAGAUCUAAAAGUUGAGAUUUAUUCAUUUUAUUUUUUAUUUUUUCCUCUGUCUCUCUUUCUCUCCACGACAGAUCUCAUCUCUUUCUCUUCUUUUUUUUUUUUCCGAUUCACUCUCCAUCUAUUAAAGUCCCACAUCGUGUGGUGACAUGGUCCUUGGGCAAUAUAUAUGUGUAUGGUCAAUCCUUCACUCUUGAGCUAGCUUUUGGGCGUGAGUUAGUCUCAUCACUAAUAUUCUCCAUCUUCUCCUUCACUCUCAUAUCUCAUCUCUCAUUUCUCCCAUCUCUGUGACUCUGUCCCACCGCGUCUCCUCCUAGUCUCACCACCACCGCGUCUCCUCCUCUUCUCACCACCACCGCGGUCGCCUUCCCACCCCCACCACGGUGGUCGUGAGCAGAGAUGCUGGUCUGUGGUCGUGAGCCGCCGAGAGCAGUGUCGCCGGAAGUGGACCCAUCAGAGACUCCACCGGUGAGGAUCAGAAGAAUAAGAAUCGGUGCUUCUUUUGUUCUUAGUAGAUACAGGGGGUGAAGGAAGAUGAAGAAGAUAAAGGUGGUGAAGGAAGAUGAAGAAGCUCAGUGGACGUGGUUGAAGGCGGCUGAGUUAGAAAGAUAGGGAUUCUUUUUUUUUUUAGGUUUAGUGUAAAAAACUGACUUAAUCCCUUGACUAACAAGAAUCGUACUCUCAUUUAGAAAACAGAGAGAAAAAGAUAAUUCAACAAUUCUUUCAAGAUCUUUAUUUUCUUCUGUUUUUAUUUUCUUUGAGAUUAUUAACAAAUACUCGUUCAAUAGAAUUUGUCUUAGGUGUUGAACAAUUCUUUCAAGAUAUUUUUUUUCUUCUGUU